UGUCGGAUCACCGACGUAUCCACGCAGUCGGUUACUAACGUUUGCCUCGGCAGCAUACGAGGCGGACGCACCAUCGUCGCCGUGCGCAAUCGUUCGCACACAUUUUCACUACUUGCACCACAAGCGUUAGAAAAUUAAUUUGUCGUCCCAGCUUACAGCCAGACGGCCAUCCAUGAGCAGGCAGAGGCGACACUGUUCUUCAGCUCGCGCACGAACAUAGUGGAUUACCGAACUUUUCGAUUAUGAUAAGUGACAUUCAUUUAUUAAGUGACUCAGUGAGUUUCUCGACCGAGGAACACUCGCCCAACAGAGCGCCUGCUUGGAAUUGGAACUUGAUUGAUUUUACCCCGUCCAGAUUAUGAUUUGAUGAAGUUAACGUCCAGGAGAUUAGAAUUUGGUUGAUCCAGGCCCAACAUUCUCAAAAAUACAAGAUGACAUCGUGAUUUGUCUAGCAAUAUUCCUACACAACUAAGGCAUUCCACGCAGUAAAAUAUGCAACAAUUAGGGUAUAAUGGAUUUUAUGGCAAGAAAAUUCUUUAAAUCAUCCACUGACGUAAUAUGGAUGAUAAAUCAAACAUGACUUGAAAUUCUGAAUGGAAAUCUACAGAAGCAGUUUUAAACUUCGCUGCAGACACACAGAUGGAGCUGGGAGUAUUAAAAAGUUUUAAACUUAUUAAAUAUUUACAACGCGUUAUUUUUAUUUGCUGAGACAACUUCCUAACGUUACAAAUUGUCGCCGACCAUUGAUAAAUGUGUGUGCUGUCCGGGUCAAAGGUUGUAGUGAACUUGAAACACUACGCAGCCGUGUACAAAUACCGUAAUGUGUUUCGUUUUUUUUUUGUUUAUUGCAAACAAUGCAUGCUUCGUGUUGCUGCGGAAAACUACCAAUGUUGUACUUUUCCGCCGCCGUGCCAAUCGGUGACCACGCAGUUAAUUCGCACGACGCAUUCCGUUGUGCUUAUCGAAUUUCAGUGGGUAACACGAGCUGCGUUUGUUUUCGCGGACGUUCUCGUUUGCGUACAGAAACAAUUAAUCGUAUUGAUGAAAUUAGAUGCGGCCCCGCCGCUACAAGAAGGCACAAUGCAUGCGUAUUAACGCAACACGACGCAUGCUGCCAACAUCUGCAUCGUGCAUUCCUUCACAGUUUAAUGCCACCGUACCGUUCGCUGGCAUGAUCAUUCACAAUUCACACACAAGAGUAGGAAGUGUUUUAAUCGAAUGCUUGCGACAUGAGUCAGUCGGCCAGCCGCCCUAUCCCGCGGCAUUUGCAUGCAUCAAUCGACGCUGGUGUUCGGAAAAAUAUGUUAAACACGAAUGCUGAAAUCAUUUGAUGACCAAUCAUCAUCGAAUGAUACACACGCGACUUUGUUCCCUGCUUCUCAUCGAGUCAUGUUUUCGAUUCGAAAACCAUAAUCAGCUUAGUACACUGUUCGCUUUCGUUACCGCCUUUCACCAAUUCGAUUAUUAUUUUACAUCGGCAUUUUGUUACGAAUAACAAGUUUAACCUUUGAAUAUGUGUUUGCGAUAAAAGUUUCAUUCAUAAACUCGGCCGUACCCGACUCAUUCAAUUGCCUGCUAUGUAACUUGCAAGUACCUCAUUGCUGGUAAGACUUGUUAAAUUAUUAAUCUAUUUCAAUUGGUAGGUGAAGACAGCUUCAUAUCCUGGGAUGUUUACAGUGGACUAAGGAAGAAGGAGAAGGAGUUGGAUUAUAAUAAAGAAAAAUCACAGAAAAGUUCCAAGUCUUGUCAUCCAAGAUGAAGACAACAAGGAUUUAAUGAAGGCGAAACGGGUUUUCACAGUGAUUUGACAGAUGAAUGUGAUUCUGAGAUCAUUGUGAAAGCUUAUUUUGUUCGAAUUAUACAUUCACCGUCAAUACAAUCGAAGAAGUAAAUUUUAAAAAUAUUGCGGAUAUUGUUUUUUGUACAUUGGUAAUUAAGGCCUAAACGCAAAGAAAAUAUAAAUAUAAAUAUUUCUGUUGUAACAAUUCUUAAUGUAUAAUUUAAUGUACACCUAUAAUAUUUAAAGCAAAUGUUUUUUUUUGUAUUAAUUGAUUGUAAAUAAAUACUGAAUUAGAUUAAA